CCAAGGAAAACAGACAUCUUUUCUUAUCAUUUGAAGGAGGAAAUAAAAAAGGUAUUAUAAAGCAAUGAACUUUAACCCUAGAGGUAAACCUGGCAGUUGUUAUGGGUUUUGAUCAUAAAACCAACCAUUGUAAUGGUCAAUCUGGCCUGAAUUUCUUGUGAUAUAACUAUAUCUGAACAGACAUUCUGGUAACUUCAUCAAAUUGUAAUGCGAUAAGGAACAAAGUUAGUAUUUUAUCAUGUGGAAACAAUUAAGGACAGAGGGGCUAUUCUAACAAGCUUUUUACCAAUCAAAUGCUUACAUGUCACAACGUGGACUCUGCAGAUAGCAAAGUCUCACAAUCAAUUCUGAGACUCUACAGCGAGGAGGAAAAGCUCUUCCAGGACAUUUAGGAUUGGACCUCUCAACAGAAUAAGAAAAAUGGUCUUCAUAUUUAAUCAGCCAAGCAGAAAACUCAUACAGGAAAGUUUUAUAAAGGCUGAAAAUGGACGGAAAGAUGCAAGUUUCAGCUACAAUCUAGUGGUGAGCUGCAUUUCCUGAGUCUCAGCCGAUUUCCCAGCAGAAAUUCCAGUCUGAUGAAGAAUCAGCGAAAGGAAGCCCUCACUGAGAGACACACUGGUAUCAUUCACUGAGUGGAGAUAGUGAAAGAGCAACAUAUUUCUAAAGGUAAUUUAGAUUAUUAGUCUAUAUGCUUAGAUAGUAAAUACAGAUUUAACUUCCCAUGGAGAAGCAAUAAUUAAUUUCCCUUGAAAACCUGACCGCUUUUUCUACAAAUAAUUUGGUUUUGCCCUACCUACAUCUUUGGAGUGGUAUUCAUUCACCACAGUUCACCCCAUAACUGCCUUUUUAUCAUUGUUAUCACCUCUCAAAGCUGUGAAAAUCAAAUCUGGAAAUCUAAUGUAAUCUGUAUAGCAAUAUUUUUGUUAAACGAAAUGAGCAUUUAAUACUCUCAAGAAAAAUAUAUUUUCUUUUUUUUCUUUCUCUCUCUCUCUCUUUCUUCCUUUCGGCUCUAUGCCCAACAUGGGGCUCAAACUCACAACCCUGAGAUCAAGAGUCUAAUGCUCCACUGACUGAGCCAGCGAGGCGCCGCAAGAAAACACGUUUUCUAAAAUGUCUUUAACAAACAAGUUCACAAGGAAUCAAUUGUCUGAAUACAGUUCUAGCAACCAUGUCUUAGAAUCAGACUCAGAGAAGGCAACAACAAAAGCAAGAAGUACUUUGUGCCUUGUCACACAGUUAGUACUGGGGAAGCUGGAAUCCAAACCCAGGUUUAUUAAACUCCGAAAUCUUUGCUCUUAUCCCUCCACCCUGUUGCUCCAUAAGUGUUCUUUGUUGAUCGCAAUAACACAAUCAGUACUAUGCAAUCUCCUUGUGAACAUACAAUUGCUGUAACAGUAGUAUGUGAUGUCUGGAUCAAGUUAAAGGUUUCUGUAGGGACUAUGUAGUAUGAAUGAGGUAUAUACAUUUGAUGAGUUAGAAGUCUUAACUGAGGGUUAUUGAAAAAAAUUAUGGUUUCUUGGAUGAUUAAGACAAAAUGAUAAAGGUUUCUAGGCAGAACAAAAAUACAGUUCAGAAGAGUGAAAAAAGAGAAAAAGGAAAAACAAGUAUUUCCUGCAAUUUAGCUUUAGAAAAUGUACAGAAUACACUUUAGGGAAUAUGCCCACUCUAUAUACACUGAAAGCUUAACAAAGAUAAGGCAAGCAAUUUACAGAAAUAGAGGAACUUGCUAGAAGACAAUAUAAAGAUGCAAUCAACAAAGUCCUGACAUGAGAAACACUACAGGACAAACAACUCUGUUUCUUCCACAUAAACUUUAUGGCAGGUAGGGGUGGUAAGAGAUAGAGGAGGAAUCUGUAUAUUAAGAAAACCUUAAAACCUUUAUCAACCUUUUGUAAUAUGUGAAUCUUAUUUAUAUGGAUCCUGAUUCAAGCAACAAAUUUUAAAACAAGUAUUCCCUCACACUGUUUAUUACAUUUAUGAAAAAACUGGAAAUUUGGAUAAUAAUUGCAUAUUUGACAAUAUUAUGGAAGUAAUGUUUACUUCUUUAACGUGGGGUAAUAGUGUUGUGGUUGUGUCAAAGAGGAAGAAUCUUACCUUUUAGAGCUAUAAACUGAAAUAUUUACAGAUGAAGUGAU